rnacentral:lncRNA from 1 species
CACUAGUUUAGUCUUAGUGCACGUGUUAGUUUUCAAUUUUAUUCACAUUUCACUUUGCAAGCAGACUCAGUUCUUUUAGGUUGAGUUUCAUUUCAGUUUCUAUAAUUUGUAUGGUUGAUUUAGCAAAAUUACUUUUGGUAAAAAAUAUUCCUUGGACAUUCUUCAUUAUUUGGUUCAACAUUUGCAACCAAUAUUUUUUAGGUUACACAUUGACCUGGUAACUCAGUUUGUGGUCUUGCCCCUCUUUUAUCCAUUUGGCUUUUCUAUAUGCUGUUCCCUCCAUUUAGAAAUCCCCUUACUGUUGCUCUUUUCUAACAACCUCCUCCUUUUUUCUGCAGACUCAUCUUUUCUGAAAAGACUUUUCUUGUCCACAAAUGGCUUUGAUGCUAAUACCUUUAUUUAUGCCUGAUGGGAAUAGAUGAGAUCACUCAGGAAGAAUAUGUCAUGUGAAAACAGAACUGGUUUGUACAGGACACAAAGGAAGCAGUGCCUGCCGGGGAGAAGGGAGAGGAGUGCUAGAGAGGGAGGAGAGAGCCAGGAGAAAGGCCAAGGGAUAGCUGUUUCUACAUGCAGAGCAUGGUAGGUGUAGUACAACAGAAAUACAAGAUUUACAUGUACCUAAGGAGGGAUAAAAUUUUAUGUUCAUCAUGUACUUUAUCUAAUAAAGUAAGAAUGUUAAAAAGACAGUUUUCCAUUUGGGGAAAUGAAGUAAUGAAAAUGAUAGAACUCUGAUUUCGAAGGAACAUUUGUUGAAGUGUUAGUUUCCAAAAGAUCCAAACAGCUGUUUUUAAAAGUUCUAAGCCAAUAAACCACCUCAAUUAUUACAAAACAAAGAAAUACCUUAGAAUAAGUGACCAGAGUAUUGUCUUGAAAACCAGAAAUAUUGAUCAAGAAAGGACUAUGUGAGGUGAGUCCAACACACAGUACCGUGAUGUGUGAUGUCCAGAAGAACAGAAGAUGCCAGGAGACUCCAGAUACAGCAAUGACAAAGAGCAGUCCUGCACCCAACGUUAUCAAACCUUCUAAUUCAAUCAUUAGGUACUGAGCUAAUGUAGAGAGAGGCUGAAAAUCAUUUAUCUAAUUGGCAAGAACCAGUGUGGAAGGGGGCAGGGUGAGUAACAGAAGAAAACACAGUGAUUCGUAAUUGAGGUCCUCAACUCAUGG